rnacentral:rRNA from 1 species
UACAGAGGUCCCAAGCGUUGUUCGGAUUUACUGGGCGUAAAGGGCGCGUAGGCGGCUUGGUAAGGUUGCGGUGAAAGCCCGGGGCUCAACCCCGGGUCGGCCGUGGCAACUGCUGAGCUGGAGCACUGUAGAGGCAGGUGGAAUUCCGGGUGUAGCGGUGGAAUGCGUAGAGAUCCGGAAGAACACCGGUGGCGAAGGCGGCCUGCUGGGCAGUGGCUGACGCUGAGGAGCGAAAGCGUGGGGAGCGAACAGG